rnacentral:misc_RNA from 1 species
CACCACUCAAGCCUCGCUUGGUAUUGGGCACCGCGGUCCGCCGCGCGCCUCAAAUCGACCGGCUGGGUCGAUCGCACCCUCAGCGUUGUGGAAACUAUUCGCUAAAGGGACUGUCGGUCGGUCACGCCGUGAAACAAACCAAUUUUCAAU